rnacentral:lncRNA from 1 species
UAAAGGUCUUCCUGGUCCACCUGGUCCACCCUGCUCCGCCUGUUGUUCCACUGACGUGAAAAACAAGAUUACUGAAGGAAGUAUUCGUCAAAUUCACGCAUGGAGAGAAUCACCGACACCACGUCCAGCUGAUAACACCACUAAUGUUUUGAAUGUUAGUGGCACAAAUAUAAAAUUAGAUUUUGGUUCUUUUUAUCCAAACCACAGCCAAGACGCCUUCAAUGAUACCAAAAAAGAAAAUGUCACAGAGGUCCCAGCAGGCGAGAGGUCCCAAUCAUCAGCAGGCCUGCUGAGUGUAGCCUUAGGCAACAACAGCGACUCCUUCAGAAAUGUUACUGUUACUACAGUGGAAAGUGAGUGGGUAUCACCUCACCCAGAUUACCAAAGUGACAACGUGACUGAAAUCAAUCCAGAAAAUGUUACAGAAGCACCAAUGAAUUUAUUAGCAGGUUAAUAUUUAUACUCAUUCAUUGUAC